CAGCAGCCGCGGUAAUACGUAGGGUGCAAGCGUUAAUCGGAAUUACUGGGCGUAAAGCGUGCGCAGGCGGUUAUGCAAGACAGAGGUGAAAUCCCCGGGCUCAACCUGGGAACUGCCUUUGUGACUGCAUGGCUAGAGUACGGUAGAGGGGGAUGGAAUUCCGCGUGUAGCAGUGAAAUGCGUAGAUAUGCGGAGGAACACCGAUGGCGAAGGCAAUCCCCUGGACCUGUACUGACGCUCAUGCACGAAAGCGUGGGGAGCAAACAGGAUUAGAUACCCUGGUAGUCCACGCCCUAAACGAUGUCAACUGGUUGUUGGGAGGGUUUCUUCUCUAGUAACGUAGCUAACGCGUGAAGUUGACCGCCUGGGGAGUACGGCCGCAAGGUUGAAACUCAAAGAAAUUGACGG
rnacentral:rRNA from 1 species